UGCUUAGGAAUCUGCCUAUUAGUGGGGGACAACAUUCCGAAAGGAAUGCUAAUACCGCAUACGUCCUACGGGAGAAAGCAGGGGAUCUUCGGACCUUGCGCUAAUAGAUGAGCCUAAGUCGGAUUAGCUAGUUGGUGGGGUAAAGGCCUACCAAGGCGACGAUCUGUAGCGGGUCUGAGAGGAUGAUCCGCCACACUGGGACUGAGACACGGCCCAGACUCCUACGGGAGGCAGCAGUGGGGAAUAUUGGACAAUGGGGGGAACCCUGAUCCAGCCAUGCCGCGUGUGUGAAGAAGGCCUUAUGGUUGUAAAGCACUUUAAGCGAGGAGGAGGCUACUGAGACUAAUACUCUUGGAUAGUGGACGUUACUCGCAGAAUAAGCACCGGCUAACUCUGUGCCAGCAGCCGCGGUAAUACAGAGGGUGCGAGCGUUAAUCGGAUUUACUGGGCGUAAAGCGUGCGUAGGCGGCUUUUUAAGUCGGAUGUGAAAUCCCCGAGCUUAACUUGGGAAUUGCAUUCGAUACUGGGGAGCUAGAGUAUGGGAGAGGAUGGUAGAAUUCCAGGUGUAGCGGUGAAAUGCGUAGAGAUCUGGAGGAAUACCGAUGGCGAAGGCAGCCAUCUGGCCUAAUACUGACGCUGAGGUACGAAAGCAUGGGGAGCAAACAGGAUUAGAUACCCUGGUAGUCCAUGCCGUAAACGAUGUCUACUAGCCGUUGGGGCCUUUGAGGCUUUAGUGGCGCAGCUAACGCGAUAAGUAGACCGCCUGGGGAGUACGGUCGCAGGACUAAAACUCAAAUGAAUUGACGGGGGCCCGCACAAGCGGUGGAGCAUGUGGUUUAAUUCGAUGCAACGCGAAGAACCUUACCUGGCCGUGACAUAC
rnacentral:rRNA from 1 species